GCCGGGCAUGGUGGUGCAUGCCUGUAAUCUCAGCUACUCGGGAGGCUGAGGCAGGAGAAUUGCUUGAACCUGGGAGGAGGAGGUUGUAGUGAGCUGAGAUCAUGCCACUGCACUCCAGCCUGGGCAACAAGAGCAAAACUUGUAAUCCUAGCUACUCAGGAUACUGAGACAGGAGAAUUGCAUGAACCCGGGAGGCAGAAGUUGCAAUGAGCCGAGAUCACGCCAUUGCACUCCAGCCUGGGUGAUAGUGCAAGACUUUGUCUCA
ensembl:misc_RNA Metazoa_SRP Metazoan signal recognition particle RNA